rnacentral:rRNA from 1 species
UCAACGGAGAGUUUGAUCCUGGCUCAGGAUGAACGCUGGCGGCGUGCUUAACACAUGCAAGUCGAACGAUGAUCCCUAGCUUGCUGGGGGGAUUAGUGGCGAACGGGUGAGUAACACGUGAGUAACCUGCCCUUGACUCUGGGAUAAGCCUGGGAAACUGGGUCUAAUACCGGAUAUGACCAUCUGGCGCAUGUCAUGGU